UUUUAAAUUAAAAUCAAAAAUGAUUUAAUAAGAAAUUUUGAAUCUUUCCAACACGUUAUGGAACAUAGUUCCGCAAUAUCAUGAGAUCUUAGUGUUACCCCACACCACAAGUAAUGUCGACGACGUCGUCUCCUCCGGUAGCGAAGAAAGUGCCGCACCAGAUGGAGAUGAUCGGCGACGUGCGCGUCGACAAUUACUACUGGCUUCGCGACGAUUCUCGCUCCGAUCCCGAUGUUCUCGCGUAUCUCGACCAGGAGAAUGCGUAUAUUGAAUCGAUUAUGUCUGGUAUAUACCUCGUUUACAUUGUUUGAAGUUCCGAUGAAUUGAGUCGCAAGAGAUCUGGAAAGGGACUUCAAAAUCUCUAUCUCCUUUGUAGGAUACGCGAGUGGAAGAAAGAAUGAUAGCGGGACCUUCUAUAGGUGUUUUCUUAUCGAACAUUAAAGCUUUAUUGUCUAAGUGUCCCCGGUCAUCUCUGCAUGUCCGAGGGUUAGAUGGUAAACUUUCUUGAACGAAAGGAACUCCUGGCAGCUGCUAUUGUAUUC